GGCGCGCGGGACGGCGGGGGCGCGCGGCAGGACCAGUCCGGGCUGGCUGACGGAGGCUGACUGCGGAGGUUCUGAAGCUGGUUAGCAACGAGGGGUUCACAGAAAGUGAUGAACAUCGUUUCGUUGCACCUGUGCCUCCUGUUCGCCGUCCGAAAUAAAGACUCGGAGACGCUGAGGGUAGAGCCCAGUUCAGAGGACCCCCGCAGAAGGCGCCUUACCUGCGCGGCCCUGGGCAGCUCAGGGAGCGCGGUGCAGCCGCAGGCCGGGCCAGGCAGGUGGCGGCGCGGUCAGGUCGACUUGACACGGGGGGCGUGGCCGGGGGGAGCGGUACCCCUCCUCGGAGCAAGUGGAGGCCGGGUCCCCGCGAGCCCGUGGCGGUGCCCCUCUUCCGCCCUGUCUGUUCUCUACGUUAGCAGGUGGGUGCUGGACAAAGCUUACCCACUGGCCAUGAGGACUGAGUAGAGGAGCGUGCAAAUCGACAUGCAUCUUUAAGACAGAAUAAGGGACUCCGAACGCCUGCUCUGCCUGAGUCUGGCAGCUCAGAUCCAUCCCUCAGCCAGAACACCCCGCCCCCGCCCCCGCCCCGCGCUCUUUAGGGACACUUUCGUGGAAGGAAGCCUUUGGAAAACACUCCAUUGCUGCCUUGGACUUUGUUUUGGAGCAAGGCUUCAGAGGACAGUAGCAUGCUCAGAUUAGUGAAUUGCGUUUUCAGACCAAGAAACAGAAUAGCCACUGGCAACGACCUGUGCUGUCAUUAAUGUCAUCGUGUCACAUAACUCUGGAGGCAAUUCCGGGUCUGAUCGCGCGCCCUAAGGAUGUCCUGAGGGAAGCCCCAGUAGCCUGCGUCUUCCUCUCCUUGGCUCACCGAUCUUGGUUUAGCCAUCCUGAGAGCGGAAAAUAACAGCACGUGACAUUUAAAUGCAAGGCAUGAGGAAGUGGGAGGUAAAAAAUAUUUCAAAGACCUUUCUUCUAGCAGCUUUUAAAUGGGCACAAAAUAAAAGGGAUUGGACAAUAUAUUUUUUUAAAUAGGCGAUCACAAGGGAAACUGCUCACAAUUCAUUUCUUGGCUUAAGUAGGAAUAACAGACUUUUUAUGCUAAAGGAUCAUAAUUUAUUAGCUAAUUUUCUAAUUAUCAUAAUUACUCAAAAUAUAGAGAAUAAAAAUAAAAGAAAUUUAAAUGGAAACUUA